rnacentral:rRNA from 1 species
GUGGGGAAUUUUGCGCAAUGGGGGAAACCCUGACGCAGCAACGCCGCGUGAGUGAUGAAGGCCUUCGGGUCGUAAAGCUCUGUCAGAGGGGAAGAAAUGCAGGGGUGCUAAUAUCAUCUUUGCUUGACGGUACCCUCAAAGGAAGCACCGGCUAACUCCGUGCCAGCAGCCGCGGUAAUACGGAGGGUGCGAGCGUUGUUCGGAAUUAUUGGGCGUAAAGCGCGUGUAGGCGGUUUGGUAAGUCUGAUGUGAAAGCCCCGGGCUCAACCUGGGAAGGGCAUUGGAAACUGUCAGACUUGAAUACGGGAGAGGGUAGUGGAAUUCCUAGUGUAGGAGUGAAAUCCGUAGAUAUUAGGAGGAACACCGGUGGCGAAGGCGGCUACCUGGACCGAUAUUGACGCUGAGACGCGAAAGCGUGGGGAGCAAACAGGAUUAGAUACCCCUGUAGUCC